UACGGAGGGGGACUAGCGUUGUUCGGAAUUACUGGGCGUAAAGCGCACGUAGGCGGAUUUGUAAGUCAGGGGUGAAAUCCCGAGGCUCAACCUCGGAACUGCCUUUGAUACUGCAAAUCUCGAGUCCGGAAGAGGUGAGUGGAAUUCCUAGUGUAGAGGUGAAAUUCGUAGAUAUUAGGAAGAACACCAGUGGCGAAGGCGGCUCACUGGUCCGGUACUGACGCUGAGGUGCGAAAGCGUGGGGAGCAAACAGG
rnacentral:rRNA from 1 species